AUUGGACAAAUUUGGUGUAGAUGUCCCUGUCAGAAACGUCAGAGAACCUCUUAGCCAAAUUUCGUCCAUUUUGGACAAAUAGAGAGAGGUUGCACAGGAAAACCGAGCUGAGUGGUUUGAAUGACACCUCGAAAUCUGUCAUAAUAGACCGACCGGACAUUUCCGUUGUGUCUCGACUCUCGACAGAUGAAUGAGAAGCUAUGUGUUGCAGGGGAGUGAUAUUCACAGGUUCAGUUCUUCCUACACCAUCUUCUCCUUCUGUGCUCACUUUUUCUCUCUCAGUCUCUCUCAGUAAAGGUUACGGGGGUGAUUCAUAAUGAGUAAAGUGGCAUUUGACAGCAGCUCUCACUUCAGAUCCAUUUCAAGUCAGAUUAAUUUGGUUGUGUAAUUAUUUUCAUAAUCAACUGCUUUGUUAAUGAAUUCAGCCAAGAUUGGUUGACAGACUGAGUGAUUGUCUGAACAAUAUUAAUAUUCAAAUGCGUAACAGACAUGAGACAAGGCAGAGAACUAGAAGAGGGAACACAGUAAUGAGAACUGACUGUUCUAAUAGCUAGCAGCAAUAAUCAGUGAAUGUAAAGGCCGUACUGCCAUCUGCUGACCAUGUUGUUUAUAUGUUCUGAACAGUCUAAGCUUUUUUUCCUCCUUCAAACUCUCUAAUAAAACAGCUUCCACAUAAGGAGGAAUGUGAACGGAGGCACGAACUGCUGAGGUUAGCAUGAGCUAAGAGCAAAAACAGCAGGAGAGACUCUUGACUCUCGCAGUUAAUUCACUCUGGCUCUAAUGCUGCAGAGCAAACCGCCUCUAAAGAGCCUAAAAACCAACUUAAAUUCUCAUCAAACAUAAGCUUGUGGUCCAAACCCUAGAGGGCUGCCGGCCAAAACAGCAUUUUAAAGCAUCAUAGGCAUGUUGUGAUGUUCCAAAACGUAGGAAACACAAUUAAGAUACCUUUUAGCUACAGUGAAGUACACACAAAACUUAGUCAGAUGGAUGUACAGAAGUCAUACAUAGGACAGAUUGACAUCAAAUAUUGUAGCAUCUUUUGAAUAGAUUCUUUUAUUGGUGCCAGACAUGAAUAUGAGACUCCAAGUUUAGGUUUACUUAUCUUUUAUCAUAAUGUGUCAUCCUUUCUUGUAAAUGUUCAAUGAAUGUGAUGCUAAUCUACUUGCAUUCUAGGCAGGUAGCUGAGAAUUAUAACUUGAAACUGACUGAUAACAGGAAAUAAUGUCCAUCUCAUCUAAAUGUAAUAUGAUCUAGCUAAUUUGCUAAAGUUUUUUUUGACCUAAUAAACAGUAAAAAAAAUG